GGUAGUGACAAUAAAUCACAAUGCGGGACUAUACGUCUUGCAAUUGGAUUGAGAACAAUGUACAACUCUUAUCGAUAAGCCAUUGGAGGGCAAGUCUGGUGCCAGCAGCCGCGGUAAUUCCAGCUCCAAUAGCGUAUAUUAACGUUGUUGCAGUUAAAAAGCUCGUAGUUGAAGUGUGGGUGGUGCUGUCUGAGUAACUUCGGUUAGUCAGAUGAUCAUCACCCCCUUCCAGUAUCCAGUAGUGGGUAUUCACUUACUUACUACUGUGUGUUGGUCGUUUACUGUGAGAAAAUUAGAGUGUUCAAAGCAGGCGUUUGCUUGAAUAGAUUAGCAUGGAAUAAUAAUUGAAGGCUUUCGUGUUCGAUUUGAUUGGUUUGUUCAUGGAAGCAAGGUUAAAAGGAACAGUUGGGGGUAUUCAUAUUCCCUAGUUACAGGUGAAAUUCUCG
rnacentral:rRNA from 1 species